AACGAACGCUGGCGGCAGGCCUAACACAUGCAAGUCGAGCGAGGACUUCGGUUCUAGCGGCGGACGGGUGAGUAACGCGUGGGAAUGUGCCCUUCUCUACGGAAUAGCCCUGGGAAACUGGGAGUAAUACCGUAUACGCCCUAUUGGGGUAAGAUUUAUCGGAGAAGGAUCAGCCCGCGUUGGAUUAGGUAGUUGGUGGGGUAAUGGCCUACCAAGCCGACGAUCCAUAGCUGGUUUGAGAGGAUGAUCAGCCACACUGGGACUGAGACACGGCCCAGACUCCUACGGGAGGCAGCAGUGGGGAAUAUUAGACAAUGGGGGCAAACCUGAUCUAGCCAUGCCGCGUGAGUGAUGAAGGCCUUAGGGUUGUAAAGCUCUUUCAGCUGGGAAGAUAAUGACGGUACCAGCAGAAGAAGCCCCGGCUAACUCCGUG
rnacentral:rRNA from 1 species